AUUGAACGCUGGCGGCAGGCCUAACACAUGCAAGUCGAGCGGAUGAAGGGAGCUUGCUCCUGGAUUCAGCGGCGGACGGGUGAGUAAUGCCUAGGAAUCUGCCUUGUCGUGGGGGAUAACGUCCGGAAACGGGCGCUAAUACCGCAUCCGACCUGAUGUCGAAAGGGGGGGAUCUUCGGUCCUCACGCUAUCUGAUGAGCCUAGGUCGGAUUAACUAGUUGGUGGGGUAAAGGGCUACCAAGGCGGCGAUCCGUAACUGGUAUGAGAGGAUGAUCAGUCACACUGGAACUGAGACACGGUCCAGACUCCUACGGGAGGCAGCAGUGGGGAAUAUUGGGCAAUGGGCGAAAGCCUGAUCCAGCCAUGCCGCGUGUGUGAAGAAGGUCUUCGGAUUGUAAAGCACUUUAAGUUGGGAGGAAGGGCAGUAAGUUAAUACCUGGCUGUUUUGACGUUACCAACAGAAUAAGCACCGGCUAACUUCGUG
rnacentral:rRNA from 1 species